rnacentral:tRNA from 2 species
UGGCGGGUGGUGAAAUGGUAUCACAAGGGCCUUUGGAGCCUUUGUUCCAGGUUCGAAUCCUGGCCCGCCAACCG